GUAUACGUAGGUUAACUAGACUGUUAUCUUGAAAAGGUAAAGGAAGGCAUUACAUGCUUCGUUACCG
rnacentral:tRNA from 1 species